rnacentral:rRNA from 1 species
CGGCGUGUACUCAGUUUUGUUCAUCCACCACCAUGGGCUUUGCUUGGGCUUUUAUUGUCUGGGUAGGCUAAGGGCUCCCCUGUAAAAAGGGUCUGAGGAUGGUGGGCCAUCGACCCGAUUCGACCCGUCUUGAAACGCGGACCAAGGAGCCCAGCUUAUAUGCGAGUCAAAGUGUCUAAGACACCAGGGCGUAGCGAACGCGAUUGUUUCUCACAGAACGAUAGCAGUUUGUGGCGGCAUACAAUCAUUGAUUGUAGGUCCGACCGAGAGCAUAUAAGCUGGAACCCGAAAGAUGGUGAACUAUGCUUGAGUGGGGCGAAGCCAGAGGAAACUCUGGUGGAGGCUCGAAGCGGUGCUGACGUGCAAAUCGCUCGUCAAACUCGAGUAUAGGGGCGAAAGACUAAUCGAACCAUCUAGUAGCUGGUUUCCUCCGAAGUUUCUCUCAGGAUAGCAGGCCGACCCAUUUAUUGUUAUGUGUGGUAAAGCUAAUGAUUAGCGUAGUUGGGGGUAUUUCAUCUUCACUCGAUUCUCAAACUUUAAAUACGCAUGGAUGUUGCUGCUUUAUUGAGCGGUUUCGUCAAAAAUGUCGGACUUGUGGGCCACUUUUGGUAAGCAGAACUGGCGAUACGGGAUGAACCGUAAGUAUGGUUAAGGCGCCAAAUUUUCCGCUUAUAGAUCCCAAAAAAGGUGUUGAUUCAUAUAGACAGCAGGACGGUGGCCAUGGAAGUCGGAAUCCGCUAAGGAGUGUGUAACAACUCACCUGCCGAAUGAAUUAGCCCUGAAAAUGGAUGGCGCUCAAGCGGGGAGCCGACACCAUACCGUUAGAUCAAAGUGGAUAUCUAAUGAGUAGGAGGACGUGGCGGUUGUAUAGAAGCGCAGGUGCGAGCCUGCGUGGAACGGCCGCUAGUGCAGAUCUUGGUGGUAGUAGCAAAUAUUCAAACGAGAACCUUGAAGGGUAAAGCGGGGAAGGGUUCCACGCGAACAUUGAUUGAGUGUGGGUAAGUCGUUCCUAAGCCGAGUGGUAAUGGCUAAUUAUCGCGCGAAAGGGAAGCAGGUUGAUAUUCCUGCACACGGAUGUGGAUGCGGUGACGCACCUCUGAGGCGAUGACGUUGGCGGUGGACCUGGGCAGAGAUUUCUUUUCUGUUUAACUUGUCUGAUCGCGCUGUGUGGAAUCCGCUUGUCGGGAGAAACACGCGUGUUUAGGAAGAGCG